rnacentral:miRNA from 1 species
GACAGAAGACUGCCGCUCAUUU